CAGUUCGAGCUCGUGCAGGAUGUGAAAUACGGACGCGCCCUCCCCUUAUGAGCCAGACGCACGCCCACGGCCUCGCCCGCCCAUACUCGUUCGCCGCCGCUGCCGCCUCCCGCCUCGCCUCGCCCCGCCCACCUCGCGGCUCUGGCCAGUGAUGUAAACCCCUCGCGCCCACGACGGACUCCAGGUCACAAGGUUCUCUAGACUUGGUCAAAGGGUAUCAGGGUGAAAGAGGAUCCUGGCCGGGUCACCGAGCGCCGAGGUCAGGGUCAAGAAGCAGCGGGCAGAGGUCAAAGGGCAGGCGAGACCUGUCCGUUCAGUCUGGUUGCGUCAUCUGCCGCCGCUCAGCGACAGCGCCCCGACGACAGCUGCUCUCUGGGCCAAGCGACGAGGCUCCGGGCGACGAAAUCGGGGUCGUCGCGCUCUUCGGAGAGUCGUCGGAACGCCUCCUGUCCUCCACGGCGACGCCCGCGCAAUCUGCAGGUUGAUCCACCUAUUCUAGCAACAAGCAACAAGUUACGUCAUCGAAGUGGAUGUAGAGCGAGAAAAAAUCCCCCCUGCGGCGGAGUGACACGGAAACUACUUCCCGUCGCCCGGUCACCGGUUUCCCCGCGGCGCGUUCCGACGGACUGCUCAACCUGCCGACGCCUCCGGAGGUCCCGUCCCCCCGCAGGCCCACGUCGCGCCGCCCCAACGCACUCCUCAUGCUCCCGCCGACGUAGCGGAGACGGACGACGAGCGGGGACUGAGUGCGCUGGCCGACGCCCCGUCCGCGCAUCCCCCGCGUUUGAAUGCGCGCCGUGACACCAGUUGCGCAAGGACGACGUCGCCGGAGCCCCCCCUGACGCCCCCGGCCCCCCCCCACCGGCCCCCUCCCCGCGCCACGCACACGCAGAGGCUGGAAGUGACGAGCGGAGCCCCAGCGCCGCCCGGGUCAGAUCACGUGACGAGAGCAGCCGCCCGACACGGCCGACGUCGACCUGUUGUUCCUCGUCUCCCGCCGGACCGAGCUUUCCGAAGGCCCCGACACCGCGCCCGAGACCCUCGCCGGCCCCUGGACCCGCCUCAGCCUCGCCCUCUGCUCCCUCAGCGCUGCCGACGACCCGCGCCAGAGACAUGAGGACAGACACAGUUGCGCAUCGCGGUCGAGGUGUGACGAGAGCGACGGACGGAAUCGGAAUGUGUUUAUAAAAGAGAAAUAGGAAUCGUCCGUUUUGAUCCCGUGCUUGCGAUCUGAUCCAAAGCAGUGCCAAAUUUCUAUAAUGAUAAUUCCGAACAGAAUAUGACACCAACUCGUCUGGCAUGAGAGUGAGUGAAUGCAAAACUCUGCAUGUCGUGCAACAGAUAGAAACCUUUAGAACUCGUAACAUGUGAUACUCGUACAAUUGGUGUAAAACAUAAUACUCAUUUAAAUUGUCUUCGGUAAAUUCGCCUUCUAAGUAUUCAUAUCAGUAUUAACAAAAAACGAAGUGCCAAAAUGGUCUCUAUACUGAGUUAUUAAAAAAAAACAAAAACAAAAACGGAUGCUAUAACUCAAAAAAACACAAAAAAAAACCCAGCUAGUUAGGCCCAUUAAAUCUCAUGCAUUCAUCAAAGUCUUGACGCAGUUUCACCCACUGGAAUCGGAACAGCAAACUCAUUGGACAACAUUGGUCUUCCUCAGCAAACCGUUCCAAGAAAAGGGCUUCCACACGACAGGACUUUUCAGGAACAACUCACGCACGGAGGCACGCUAACAAGUGAACUGCUAAUAACGCCAUUCCUAAUUACUCAAUUGCCAAUAACUGGAUUACUAUUUAUCCUGUUGCGAAGGUACCAAGCCGCGUAUUCUUCGUAAUCCCAAAACCUUGACAAACAUCUCUAUUAACCCGAAGAGUAAAGAUAUCGGCGGCAGACCGGAGACGACAAGGGAUGCAAAAGCCUUUGGGAAGAAGUGCUGGGCUGUUCUCUGCUUAUCCGAAGGGCGUGACCGGAACAUCUGCUUAAGAAGACCUACCUUUCUUUAGAAUCUGGCUUGACCGAGACUCGCCUAGACUGUGUUCUUUUGUGUCCCCCUCUGGAGAUAAAAAUCGGACAUUCCCCCGACACAAAAAUAAAACACCCCCGAAAAAAAAAAUAUAUAUAUAUCAACCGAGAUCAGCACACACCAAAGAGGAAAUCGAAAUUUUGGAGGGAAAUCCAGAAAAAAACAACAACAAAAAACAAAACAAAACAAAACAAACCAGGUGACCGCAGUUUCUUGUUAUUUGAGAUUGGAAACCGAAGUACAGGUUCAGAAAGACCGAGAAGAAAGUUUUGUGAUUAAAAAAAAAAAAAAAAAGAUUAAAAGAAGAGGAGGUUAUUGAAAGCUUAUUAAGACGAACAAUGGGUAGCAGCUGCUCAUCUUCCCAGUCUCUGAAGGACAAUGUCUCAGUCAAAAGUGAAGAUUAUGCCAUGGACCAAAAGGCCUCAUCGCGGCACCAGCACUUUUGCGACGCCCCGCCCGU
rnacentral:lncRNA from 1 species